rnacentral:rRNA from 1 species
UACGUAGGGGGCAAGCGUUGUCCGGAAUCAUUGGGCGUAAAGAGCGUGUAGGUCGGUCCGGUAAGUCGGCUGUGAAAGUCCAGGGCUCAACCCCUGGGAUGCCGGUCGAUACUGCCGGACUAGAGUUCGGAAGAGGCGAGUGGAAUUCCCGGUGUAGCGGUGAAAUGCGUAGAUAUCUGGAGGAACACCGGUGGCGAAGGCGGCAUCCUGGACCAACACUGACGCUGAGUGAGCGAAAGCCAGGGGAGCAAACGGG